rnacentral:lncRNA from 1 species
CACAACUCUCUCCUCUCUCUCCUGAUUCAGUGUCUAUAUUUUGUUAUAUAACUAUCUGCGCGCGAUUCACACUCCAUGGGGUUUUACGGCUCUUGGAUACUGACUUUUGAGAGAGGCAAGACGGAUAUGAUUGCUUUUGCUGUACGCCGCACAACUCAUUCACCAUCCUCUGAUGUAGAGUAUUAACAUCCUCGCAAUCCGGAUCCUAUUUUACCACACAGUCAUCAUCUCCAAUGGAACGUUUGGGAUGGAUCCACACGCGUUUGGUUAUUUGCACAGCCUGUCUCUCUGCUAGCCUGCUCUAUAACUCUGACGGCCUGGUUGUAGCUGGCUGUNNNNN